AAAUUAGAUUUUCAAAUAUUCUCAAUGCUUUUCAAUUUCUAAUAAACCAAAAUCCUGAAGAUAUACAAAUAUUAUCAACCAGUAAUGUAAUCGCAUGCCGUUUAGCCAACAAACAAAACCAAUUCAUUUAUUGUAAAAUUAAUCUAAAGUCUCUUGCGCCCGAGAAUGCUCAUACUUCCCCUAUCUCUUAAUUUAUCAAUGGAUGUCAAAUGCUCCAAUACGAGGUCCUCCACCAUAUACUAAAAAUAGCAAACUUGAAAAUAGCAAACUUGUUAUUAUUCAGGAGCCAAAAUAGGAAAUAAAAUUAGAAAAUAAACGCCAUCAAUUAAUCAUAACAUGAUUUAACUUACAUUUUGCAACUUAAAAGUCAUCUACUCUUCAUUUUCCUUAACAAAGUUGGUGCUUGGUCAUUUUCAAUAUGUGAAAAGAAGUAUGGCAACGGAAAGAAAUUAAAAAAGACAUUAAAGUAUAAAUAUAGCAAAAAAUCAAACUGUUGGAGUGUUAAGAAAUGAAAAAUACAAAGAUGGUAUACCUUCAACAUAUAUUUUUGUAAUGGUGGCUGCAAUUGCCGUAUGUAGUUAGCAAGACUGAUAUAUAUUUCUUCCGCAUAUUUCCCUCCAAUGUUGGUCAUUUUUGACUAAUCUGUUUGUCAUAUUUAACUCUUUCAAAAAUAAUGAAAAAAUACGACACUAAACAAAACACAUAAAUGCUCUACAUAGUACAUAUCAUAAUAAACUCUUAUACAUUCAAAUCCACAAAACAAACAAAAGUGUGAGUUGUUAUACAAAUGAAAAAAUAAUAAAGAUGAUAUACAUUGAUGGAAAGUAGAAACGACAUAUACAUAAUCUAUUGUGGCAAAUUCUCAAUAAUUUCAUGAUAUGCAUGCAGAUUAUACAUGGUAUGAGUAACACAUAUAGGAAUAUAUCAUUAUGAAAAGAAUUUAAGAUUACCACUAGUAUUCACUGUGGUAUAUUGUUUUACGGGAAAAAAAAAUACUUAUGCUGCUUUUUAAUGGAAUAAAAGAGAAAUAAGUACCUGAUUGAAUAGUGUUUUUCUGGUGGAAAAUGUUUCCAAUCCCUGUAUAUUGAUAGUUAAGAAAAUUCAGUUAAUAAAUAACCAAACUAUAUCCACUUUAAAGAAAAUCAUAAACAAAUAAAUUUAUUACAUUAAAAGUUUUAGUUUAUUAUAUGAAAGCAUUUGAAAUCCGAACAUGGCUAUUAAUAUAAAUAACACCUAACACACAAACAAACUUUGAAAAGGCCAAUAGAGUCGGACACUUGUGGCACAAAUGAGGAUAUUUUGUCUUCCAUGAGAAAAUAUUGAGAUUGAUAACUGGCAAGAAAAGCUAAAACCAACCUCGUCGACAUUGUUUAGUGCAUGUAUACAAAUACAUUAUCGUACUUUUCGUUCGCUUAGUCAUGCAUGAACAAAAUUAUAGAAUAAAAACAUAGUUCAAAUGAAUGAUAGCAAUUAUAAAUAAGAGAAAUAGUGUCGUUCUCUUAGAACAUAAAAAUUGCCACUAUCCAUAUUCCUUAGACCAUAUCAAACAAAAGUAUGGACAACAUUGCAACUUUAACGGUGCAUCUCUAAAUCCAGUUCUUACAACUCCACCACAUUCACAUUCUCCCCCAAGAACAAAAUAUAUAAACAUUUUAAUUAUUUAAAACCUCAUUAAUAACCAAAGAAAUUAUUUUUCCUACAAAAUUCGUUCAUUUUUUGAUAGAAAUCUGAUUGUAUGGAACGAAUGAGGUUCAUCUUGGUUUAACAAAACCAAAUCAUCAAACUAGAGUUGAAAGAACAAAAUGGGAUCAAAUUACAUUAAAUCAGAGAAAACUCGUGGAAUGGAACACAAAAACACUAAGAUUGCUUGGAGACUUCCAUUCAUUUCGUCCAAAGGCCCUCUUUACCACGAAACCCUAAUUUUUACUCCCUUAAUUUUCAGUUUCCAAAACAAUUUCUACUAAGAGAAGCAUUGGAAAUAUACUCAAUUAAUUAAUUAAUAUAAAUAACUAAUUGAUGAUACAAUACAGAGAAGAUCUUCCCGUGCAUACUAUUUAUUGGUUCGUAGAGGGUACCAAAUUGACCAGAAUAAUUGAACGGGAAAAGAGACGAGGAGUGGCAGAGAAGGAAGAGAAAAGAAAUUUGUAUCUUUACAAUCUUAAUAAC
rnacentral:lncRNA from 1 species